AUUGAACGCUGGCGGGAUGCUUAACACAUGCAAGUCGAACGGCAGCGCAGACAUCGCUCUCUCGUCCAGGUGCCGAGGGGCGGAUGAGGUAGGAGUACAUCGGCAUCAACUUUGUAGUACGACGUAACAUCGGGGCACUUACGCUAAUACCGCUUACGACCUACGGGUGAAAGCAUGGGAUCUUCCACCCUUGCGCGAUUCGAUGAGGCGAUGUCGGAUUAGCUAGUUGGCGGGGUAAAGGCACACCAAGGCGACGAUCCGUAGCUGGUCUGAGAGGAUGAUCAGCCACACUGGAACUGAGACACGGUCCAGACUCCUACGGGAGGCAGCAGUGGGGAAUAUUGGACAAUGGGGGCAAGCCUGAUCCAGCCAUCCCGCGUGGGUGAAGAAGGCCUUCGGGUUGUAAAGCACUUUUGUUGGGAAAGAAACGCAGCAGGUUAAUACCCCGCGGUACUGACGGUACCUGAAGAAUAAGCACCGGCUAACUACGUG
rnacentral:rRNA from 1 species